UCAGUAGUUCAUUGACUUUGCUGGGAAUGGUGCUGCUAAUUGAAGGACAGUCUGCAUACUUCAGUCUAAGGCUUUAGAUUGGGUCUUUCACUGUUGUGUCAUCUUUUCAGCCAAAAGCUGACUGUUGGGAUGAACUGACUGAAAAAACAGAAAAAAUGUAGCAUUUUUUGGAUGCUGGGAGACGUUUUGUUGACCUUAGAUGCUCUUUUUUUCUCCAUAUAGACAGAGUUUAAAUAUUUUUUACAGAGGAACCCACCAUGGCUCCAACAAUGAAACACAGUUUCAUUAACAUCAGCAGUAAUGUUUUUAUGGAGAAGGCUUGUCCUGUCUUGUAAAGACAGGUUGGAGAGCCAAAAGGCUAAGCAGUUUUCUUUCUGAGUGUCAAUUGUUCUGUCAUAAACAGGGCAAUGAAGGAAAUUUUGACA